UUAACACCCGCAGAAGCCCCACGGGCUUUGCAUCUCUCCCUCUCUGCGCCGUCCCUGAGGGAUUUGGCCCGACGGCAACAUGUCGGCGAAGACCCGUGGUAGCAAUUGCACGAUAGUCAAUCCUAGCGAGGGCAAUUGCUAUACGGCCAGUGGGCGGCGUGGAUUACUUACUGUUACCGGAACCUGAAUCGCUGGUGAGGACGCGCUCAUUCACUCCUUCGCAGAUCCAAGUUAAUCAACUUGCAAAGAAAUUAAUUCCGGCAUUAAUUAAGCUUUUUAUUUUUGAAAAAUAUUUUGCGUAAAAAAAAUUUAGAUGGUUGAAGGUGGAAUCAACCCCUACACCGUAUUCCAGCUGGGUCUCGGGUUUGAGUUCGGAUUUGGAAUUUGGAUGGGUCCAAAUUUGGAUUUGGGAAUGGGUAUGGGUUCUGCAAAAUUGGGUCUUAGCUGAAAAUAAAAUAAUAAAGAAAGAAAUUAAAAUGAAAA